rnacentral:rRNA from 1 species
GAUGAACGCUAGCGGCAGGCCUAAUACAUGCAAGUCGAACGGUAAGUAUUUUAGCAAUAGAAUACGAGAGUGACGUACGGGUGCGUAACACGUAUGCAACCUACCCUUUACAGGAGGAUAGCUCGGGGAAACUCGAAUUAACCCUCCAUGAGAUCACAGUGUGGCAUCACACAGUGAUUAAAACUCCGGUGGUAAAGGAUGGGCAUGCGUCUGAUUAGUUAGUUGGCGGGGUAACGGCCCACCAAGACGAUGAUCAGUAGGGGAACUGAGAGGUUGAUCCCCCACACUGGCACUGAGAUACGGGCCAGACUCCUACGGGAGGCAGCAGUAGGGAAUAUUGGUCAAUGGAUGGAAGUCUGAACCAGCCAUGCCGCGUGCAGGAAGAAGGCCUUCUGGGUUGUAAACUGCUUUUGCCAGGGGAUAAAAGACCAUGCGUGGUUAAUUGAAGGUACCUGGUGAAUAAGCCACGGCUAACUACGUGCCAGCAGCCGCGGUAAUACG